GACGAACGCUGGCGGCGUGCUUAACACAUGCAAGUCGAACGGAAAGGCCCCUUCGGGGGUACUCGAGUGGCGAACGGGUGAGUAACACGUGAGUAACCUGCCCUUGACUUCGGGAUAACUUCAGGAAACUGGGGCUAAUACCGGAUAGGAAUCCUUGCUGCAUGGUGGGGGUUGGAAAGCUUCGGCGGUUGUGGAUGGACUCGCGGCUUAUCAGCUUGUUGGUGGGGUAGUGGCUUACCAAGGCUUUGACGGGUAGCCGGCCUGAGAGGGCGACCGGCCACACUGGGACUGAGAUAAGGCCCAGACUCCUACGGGAGGCAGCAGUGGGGAAGAUUGCACAAUGGGCGGAAGCCUGAUGCAGCAACGCCGCGUGCGGGAUGACGGCCUUAGGGUUGUAAACCGCUUUCAGCAGGGGCGAAGCUUGUGGUGACGGUACCUGCAGAAGAAGCACCGGCUAACUACGUG
rnacentral:rRNA from 1 species